GGCUAAGAUCAAGUGUAGUAUCUGUUC
rnacentral:piRNA from 8 species